rnacentral:lncRNA from 1 species
CCGAGAACUUACUCUGGUUGCGGACAAGGAGGAUAAUAAUUCAUCCUUAAUGAUUGCAUCCCGUUUUCAAACAGCUCUUUCAUGUCAUUGGGAUCCAUUCUUAGAGCUUUAGCCAUUAGGUCAAGGAUUUUCAAGGUAAGAUUUUUAAGUUCCGUUAAGUAAACUUCCAAGUCAUCUCCGCAUGCAAAUAAUAAUAUAUAGUCCAGUAAUUAUCAUAAGAUAGAAUAUACUAUAUAAGAAAAGUCUAAAAUUUAAGUAUAGAACCUGAAUGGAAGAGGCAACUUGGGGAACAAGUGGGGUUUCCUCAGAUGGGUUGGGAGAGUGAACAUAGUAAAGCCGUAUCCCCAAUCAAGCUUCUGCUCUUCAGACGUAAUAAAAAGCUGCCCAAAUCCCUCAACAUCUCCUGGCUGCUGCCAAAACUUCUUUUUCUCAUCAAUUGGAAGAUUAAAGAAUUCUUGAAUCUCUGCUUUCACUUUCUCCACCAAUGAACUGCUCACUCCAUGAUUCAUCAACCGCAUAUAUGCAAAUUAAAGCAAGAUGUUCUUUCCAUAUAUACAUGGUUCAUAAAGGAAAUUUUGAAGUUCUGGAAACAAAAUGAUUUUUAUGGAAAAUGCUAAAGAAACGGAGAGCUGAUAAAAUGCUGACAAAAACAACGAUAAAUUAGUCUGUUUAAUGGGUUUACAAUCAAGUGACUAAUCCGGUACUGAUUUACUUUGUUUUUUGUAAACGUUUUGUCUAAUUUUUAUUAUCUGAAUAUCACUGCUAAAUUGUUAUGUACCUGAAAGAAACCCCAGUCUUUACAUGCAUGGUUCAUAUAGGGAACUUAAAGCUCAGGAAGUAAAAUUAUUUUUAUGGAAAAUGUAAAAACACUGAGACCUGAAAAAACGCUAACAAAAGCAAUGAUUUGCAAUCAAUUAAGUAUUUUUAUUAUAUGAAUAUCACUGCUCAAUUAUUAUGUACCUGAAAGAAACCCCACUCUUUACAUGCAUGGUCAAGCUUCUCAAGCUCUGAGUCAUCCCCAGAGAGCAACGUGUGCAUGUCAAUGACUGGAAGUUGUUGUGCUGAAGAAUCGUCGUUGCGAAUCAAGGGAUGGUCUAUCUCAGGGAGAACAUAACGUGGCGGAACAGUUGUCAGUGGCAGAUUAUUUGCCAGCUCCAGAAUCGAAGGCUCCACGAGAGAAUUCCCAAUAACUGUUGCUUUUGCCUCCAUGUUAUAUAGAUUUAGAUUAACUGAUUUCUAGCUAUUACCUUUUUGUUUUCUUCUACUCUUCUGCAGACUUAGCUAGUAUGUGUUUUGACAAGAAACUCAUAUAUAAAUAG